rfam:Haemophilus paracuniculus strain CCTG 43573 43573T_ctg_0000013, whole genome shotgun sequence.
UCCUGAUAUGCUGUUUGAGUAUCCUGAAACGGGCUUUUCAAGAUCAGCAUAUCAUUAACUUUAAAUAAUAGGAGUGCAUAGUGGCCCGUAUUGCAGGCAUUAACAUUCCUGAU